AACGAACGCUGGCGGCAGGCUUAACACAUGCAAGUCGAACGCGUGUAGCAAUACACGAGUGGCGCACGGGUGAGUAACACGUGGAUAUCUGCCUUUUGGUUCGGGAUAACCCUGGGAAACUAGGGCUAAUACCGAAUGGUUCCUACGGGAUAAAGAUUUAUCGCCAAAAGAUGAGUCCGCGUCCGAUUAGCUAGUUGGUGAGGUAACGGCUCACCAAGGCGACGAUCGGUAGCUGGUCUGAGAGGACGAUCAGCCACACUGGGACUGAGACACGGCCCAGACUCCUACGGGAGGCAGCAGUGGGGAAUAUUGGACAAUGGGGGCAACCCUGAUCCAGCCAUGCCGCGUGAGUGAUGAAGGCCUUCGGGUUGUAAAGCUCUUUUGGCGGGGACGAUGAUGACGGUACCCGCAGAAUAAGCCCCGGCUAACUUCGUGCCAGCAGCCGCCGUAAGAC
rnacentral:rRNA from 1 species